CGACACCCCCCGAUAAACCUCACCAUUUCUCGCCACUACAGCCUAUAUACCACCGCCCUCAGUUCAUCUUUCAAAAGAAUAAUAAUGAACAAAAUGAUUAAAAAUAAAAAAGUCAGGUCAAGGUGUAGCAAAUGAANNNUGNGNAANANGNAANANGGGCUACAUUUUUUAUAAUAAAAAACACGGAAUAUUAUAUGAAAUAAAAUAUAAAGGAGGAUUUAGAAGUAAAAAGAAAAAAGAGUGUUCUUUUUAAAUUGGCAAUAGAGCACGCACACACCGCCCGUCACCCUUUUCAAAAUAUAUAAAAUUUAAAUAAAUAUAUAAACUUAUAAGAAAAGGUAAGUCGUAACAUGGUAAGUCUACCGGAAGGNGGCCUUGGAUAUCAAAAUAUAGCUUAAAUAAAGCACUUUGCNUACACCAAAAAAAUAUNUGCUAAGCCAAAUUAUUUUGAAUCUUAAAUCUAGCCUAAAUAUAUAUAUAUAUAUACUAAUCCCUAAUACACAAAAC
rnacentral:rRNA from 1 species